rnacentral:rRNA from 1 species
UUGAAGAGUUUGAUCAUGGCUCAGAUUGAACGCUGGCGGCAGGCCUAACACAUGCAAGUCGAACGGUAACAGGAAGCAGCUUGCUGCUUCGCUGACGAGUGGCGGACGGGUGAGUAAUGUCUGGGAAACUGCCUGAUGGAGGGGGAUAACUACUGGAAACGGUAGCUAAUACCGCAUAACGUCGCAAGACCAAAGAGGGGGACCUUCGGGCCUCUUGCCAUCGGAUGUGCCCAGAUGGGAUUAGCUUGUUGGUGGGGUAACGGCUCACCAAGGCGACGAUCCCUAGCUGGUCUGAGAGGAUGACCAGCCACACUGGAACUGAGACACGGUCCAGACUCCUACGGGAGGCAGCAGUGGGGAAUAUUGCACAAUGGGCGCAAGCCUGAUGCAGCCAUGCCGCGUGUAUGAAGAAGGCCUUCGGGUUGUAAAGUACUUUCAGCGGGGAGGAAGGGAGUAAAGUUAAUACCUUUACUCAUUGACGUUACCCGCAGAAGAAGCACCGGCUAACUCCGUGCCAGCAGCCGCGGUAAUACGGAGGGUGCAAGCGUUAAUCGGAAUUACUGGGCGUAAAGCGCACGCAGGCGGUUUGUUAAGUCAGAUGUGAAAUCCCCGGGCUCAACCUGGGAACUGCAUCUGAUACUGGCAAGCUUGAGUCUCGUAGAGGGGGGUAGAAUUCCAGGUGUAGCGGUGAAAUGCGUAGAGAUCUGGAGGAAUACCGGUGGCGAAGGCGGCCCCCUGGACGAAGACUGACGCUCAGGUGCGAAAGCGUGGGGAGCAAACAGGAUUAGAUACCCUGGUAGUCCACGCCGUAAACGAUGUCGACUUGGAGGUUGUGCCCUUGAGGCGUGGCUUCCGGAGCUAACGCGUUAAGUCGACCGCCUGGGGAGUACGGCCGCAAGGUUAAAACUCAAAUGAAUUGACGGGGGCCCGCACAAGCGGUGGAGCAUGUGGUUUAAUUCGAUGCAACGCGAAGAACCUUACCUGGUCUUGACAUCCACGGAAGUUUUCAGAGAUGAGAAUGUGCCUUCGGGAACCGUGAGACAGGUGCUGCAUGGCUGUCGUCAGCUCGUGUUGUGAAAUGUUGGGUUAAGUCCCGCAACGAGCGCAACCCUUAUCCUUUGUUGCCAGCGGUCCGGCCGGGAACUCAAAGGAGACUGCCAGUGAUAAACUGGAGGAAGGUGGGGAUGACGUCAAGUCAUCAUGGCCCUUACGACCAGGGCUACACACGUGCUACAAUGGCGCAUACAAAGAGAAGCGACCUCGCGAGAGCAAGCGGACCUCAUAAAGUGCGUCGUAGUCCGGAUUGGAGUCUGCAACUCGACUCCAUGAAGUCGGAAUCGCUAGUAAUCGUGGAUCAGAAUGCCACGGUGAAUACGUUCCCGGGCCUUGUACACACCGCCCGUCACACCAUGGGAGUGGGUUGCAAAAGAAGUAGGUAGCUUAACCUUCGGGAGGGCGCUUACCACUUUGUGAUUCAUGACUGGGGUGAAGUCGUAACAAGGUAACCGUAGGGGAACCUGCGGUUGGAUCACCUCCUU